CAGGUCAGUUUGGUGUUUUAGGAAACCUUUCCUUUCCCCUUCUUGCCCUUGUCCAAAGCUUGCCCAGGGCGUCCUUGGUUCUCUGAUCUACAGAUCAGAUGGGGCUGAUGAUCUGGGCCAUUGCCAUACAAUUGUGAAGUUGAUUAAAGCUGGGCCCUGGGGAUAUAUCCCUGCCCUCUAGGAAAGUCUGACAGCACAUCAUAGGGGCUGAUUAAGUAUUUGGUGAAUAAGUGGUCUGUAGGGGUAAUCUGGGAAGACUUCCCAGAUGAGGUGACCACCAAGCUGGAUCCUAGAGCUGGAGUGGACAUUAGCCAGGUGAGAAACUGAAUCUCCAGGGAGUUAAGUGACUUGCCCAAGACCCGCGGAGCUGGGAUUCAAGCCUGGAUCUGCCUGACCCUUUCUGCUAUAUCAUGCGGCUCUCCCAGACACUGGACAGGAUCUCUUAUGACUCUUGAAGACACGAUGGAUGGUGUGAGGGCACAGAAGGGGCUCCCAUCUGAAGGACAACCAUGGGAUGUUCUUGUGGAUUCUUUCAUCGUCUGAGCCACCAGGGAAGCAAAAGCGCCCCCAGGAAUCAUCAACUAAACCAUGUUACUUUAUGUCUUAAAGGAUGAAGAGUUCAUGAGGAAGCGGGGCCUGAGGAUGGGAGGUCGUCUGCCCAGGACCUGUCUUGAUCCCCAUGGGCCCAGACUGAGUUGCUGGGACAGGAUGCGUCACCUCCCAGGGACCUGACAAGCAAGAUUCAGAGCAGCAGGAAGGACCGAGGGCCAGGUACAGGCGUGGGGAUGGGAAUGGUUGGCAGAAAAUGACUCCACUCAACAAACUGCGCCAGUGCUUUCUCUGAAUCUCGUGCAGGGAUGGGACACUGAGGUGGAUGGAUCAGCCUCCGCCUCUGCCCUCUUGGGGAGGAAAUAGCCAUGGACAGGAAAAGGCUGGUGCCAAGACGAGCUUUCAGGACCGGGGGCCCAGAGGAUGGAGAGAUAGACUGGCUUGGAGGAAAAGGUCAGAGUAGACUUCUCAGAAUAAGAGACAGCAGUUUUGAGCCUUAGAAGUGGGUGUGGCCCAGGGAGGGAAUAGUCACCUGCAGGCGGGUUGUCCCCAUCUGCAAAAUGGGGUCAAGCUCACUGCGGACCUCUUGGUCCCACAGUGAUGCCUAGUUGGUCCUCUUGCCUCCUGGUCUCUAAUAACUAUAUCCAGGACUCAUGAGGACCCUCUUGAGAUUUCUUCAAGGGAGUCCCAAGCCUGGAGCUCUCCUGGAGGUCGCCACUGGGGUCCGGGCCCUGGGUGGUUGUGCAUAGUGGACUCCUGAGAUCAGUAGGGUUCAAGCCUCUCCUUGGAAGGGCCCUGGGGAGGGCUGUGGCCUAGGCACUCUGCCCACCAGGCUUCCUGUGGGCGGCAAGUGAAACUUUUCUUCCUGGUUCUCUCCCAGCAGCCAGCUCCAUUCCCCCAGCCCCAAGUGGCGGCUCCUUGGGCCGGAAACAAUGUGCUUUCUCCACGCCUGGGAGUGGAAGUCAGCAGUUUGGCACCGUCUGGCUGGCAGCCUCCACCGGCUUCCUUUGGCACUUUAUUGGCAAAGGCGGUGACAUUUCUUUCAGUUGGGUGGGUGGAGCUGUUAUGCAAACUCCCGCUCUCCUCAUUCGCCAGAUGAAUAUUCAUGACUCAGGCAAUCUGUACCAGCCAGACUUCCCUGAGGGCGGCAGCUUUUCUUCUCUUCCCCGCUCUCUUUUUCUUUCUCCUUCUCUCCUUCCCAGCUCCUCGGAAAGCUGGAGUGCAGCUAUAUUUAAUUUACAAAUACGGAGCUCUUUAGCUUGCCUUUUGAGGUGCAGGCUUUGGGGAGGAGGCGCUGGUCAUGCAACAGUGGUUGAGGCGUGGGGUCCCUGAACUUGGGCCUUCAGGGUCCAGCACCUGGGCCCCAGCUCCUGGGAAGCUCCCGGGCCUGGGGCUCCCUCUGGGUUUAGCAUCUUGGUGCCCACAUGCCUGAGGAGGCAGCAGCCUAUGUCACCCCAUUCCACACUGGCCCCCAAGAUCGACAUGGACACUCCGAGGCACUGAUACUUUUCUGCUCAGUGCAUGGGCCAGGCCCCACCAGUAUAUCCUUGUGCCCCAGUCCUCUGCCUCCUGUGUUCCCCUGCUUGUCAAGGCACACCCAGACUCUGCUCCAAGCCCAACACCAACGCUGGGAAGGCAGUGGAGGGCAUAUGCCAAUCAUUGCUCUCCUAGAGAAGGAACAGGUGCCUGCUCAGGGUCCAAUUCCCCUGGGACACCCCUGUUCCCCUUCUGGGAAGGACAGCUACCUGGCUUCCUUUGUCUCUUCCCAGAGAGGCUCCAGAAACUCUGGCAGAGGGGUCAGAAUUUCCAGAAUUUGCUGGGGAAUUUGGUCUCAGCGAGGAUGUGCUCGUGUAGGGCUUGUGUGUGUGUGUGUGAGUGUAAAUAUUUACGCACAGCUUAAGUGCGUCUGUAUGCCUACAUCUAUGAUCGAGUGUCUGAGUGUGUGUCUGUAUGUGUAAGGGCGUGAAUGUGUGUGUGGCGGGAAGUCUGGGCAUGUCUACAUGUGUGAAUGUGCCUCUCCAGUUAGAGCUGCGUGUGUAUCUCUGUGGGUCUGGGAGGGCUGUGGGUAAAGGUACUCCUGGAGGGGGUGGUGGGGGGUGCGGUGAGGCUUGUGUUUGUGAAUGUAUACGUGUGUAUGUGUAAGUGAAUUGUAGGUGUGCACAAGUGUGUAUGUGGGCCUCUGAGAGCCUCAGGGAGAGAAAGAGGGUGUGUUUGUUAGGGGGCCAUUUCCCCUGACCUGCCCUCCCCUCCCCUCUGCACCCUUCCCUCCCAACCUUUUCUCCCCAGGGAGGUGGAGGGGGACGUCCCCCCCUCUCCCCCUUUGCAAGUGUUACAGAUUCUAUCCAAGGACGAGAACAGAAGGCUUCCCAGCACAGAGCGUCCUGAAAUUACUUUAUAUUCCCCCCUCCUUGUCUCAUCUAAUCAAAAUAGCAGCAUUAGGCUCACCCAUUCUCCCUGCCCACCACUCAGCCCUGGGGGAGGGAGCGAGGUGGGCCGUCCUGUCUGACCCCCUCCGAGAGCACCUUGGAGCCCCGAGCCAAGGAGCUGUCUUCCAGAUCUCCUCGUUCCGCGGCCCAGGCUUCAGUGGCAAGAGCCAGCUGCCUCCCUGCCUGCCAGCAACUGCCAAGCUCUUCCAGACCCACAUCCAGGCCCAGCCUCAUUUACAAAUAUGCAAAUUUGCAUCUUUUCUGGUAUGCAAAUGGAGACAUGACAAAUAGCUAAUUAGGGUCAAAAGAAGCACUCUGAACCAAUUAGUUGUAGGGUCGAUUCCUUUCUGCUGGGGGUGGUGGGGAAUGGAGACUGGGCCCUCCUGCUGCCUUCCCAGCCCUGGCUCCCCCAGGCCCCCACACUCUGGCUUGUCCUGUCUGGCUGGGGCUGUGGAUAUUCAAAGAGAACCAAUCCCACCUCUGACUCGGAGCUCUGUGCCCCUGGACUCACUUGCCCAAGCCUCAGUCCCUUUCUCUGUGAGAUGGAGCAAAGAUAGUGGCAGUCUUCUCUCUAAUCCUCUACCCGAGAGGGGUGAUACUUGGGGGAUAUUGGAUGUAAACAGGCUUUGGAAACAGUACUAAAAUUUCUCUGAGAGACACAUCAUUGUGCUCCUCCAAAGCACUUUCUGCCCUUGAUUUCCUUUUCUCUUUACAUCCACCCUCUGAAUUAGAAGAAUCUGAUAUAGGGAUGGUGGCCGUAGUUUUCGCCGUGGGUGCCAACUCUGGCCGAAACCAAAUGGCUGCCUGGAAUGAUGUGUAAAGGAGGAUUCCAAGUCCAAGUCUGGAGUCACCGAAAGGAAGAUUAUGAUCAAUUAGGGAUGUCUGCUGUGGGCAAGUCAUUGGACACUGGCAGCUUUUGGGCUGCAUAUUUAUUGACCACGAAAGAAGUAGAAUUUGGAGCAGGAACCUGGAUGCUGUCUGCUCUCUUGAGUAAAACUGAGCUCAGCUUUAAAACA
ensembl:lncRNA